rnacentral:misc_RNA from 1 species
AAAGCAUAUUAAUAGAUGUUUAAAUAAGAAGUUGGAAUUACGACACUUAUUUCAUCAUACAAAGCGCGCGUAGAUAAGAAAAACUGUAAUAUAAUAUUCUAAAAUUCAAUUAAGACCAGAACCAUCCAAUAGGCUCUUCUCCUUGUUCAUGGUGCUGCUCUUCUGCCACAAAGACGUUAGAGAAGUAGCCAUGGCAACUGCCAUGAUCAUCACUACCAUCAUCUUCCUCCGAUUGUAAACCAUCCAUGGGUGGAGGAACAUUGCAUCCUCCAGGCCCUGGAUACUCCUCAUGAUCAGUGUGAAAAUAUGAGUCCCCACUGUCCACCAGCUGUGGACUAUGCUCAUCUACCACCGCGCUCCCACCACUGCCACUGCUCAACCGGUCCUCAGCCUUCACCUUCACUUGAAGGAUCGUCAUAGCAUCCACCUCCAAGAUGUCAGAUUUUUCAUUUCCCCCUGCUCCUCCAACCACUUUCCCCUGUAACUUUUCCAUCAAUGAAACAACCUCAGAUUUGAGCUUAUCGUUAUCUUUGCGAACGGAGUCAAAAUCAGAGAGAAGGGAGUCAUAAGAGGAUUUGAGCUGAUCAUAAUCCCUCUCGAGCUGCUUGGUCUUCCACCGGGCACGGCGGUUUUGGAACCAUACAGCCACCUGUCUGGGCUGCAGCCCCAGCUUUUUGGCCAGCUGGGUUUUGCGCUCGGGCUCCAGCUUGUUUUCUGUCUCAAAGCUCUUCUCCAACAAGUGCACCUGCUCGGGAGUGAGACGGCGCUUCUUCUCCGGUGACUGCUCGUCGUAGUAUUCCUCGUCAUAUAGAUCCUCCGGCGAGCUAAAGAAGGGUCGCCUCUUCGAGGAGUCCUCCAUCUUCAUCAUCGUCGAUCUUGGUCCUCGGAAAACAGGAUCUCCGCUCCCAAGGAACAGCAUGUUGCCGUGACACGACGACGGGUCGAAAAAUAUAUGCCCAGAUCCCAUAUUUUCAACUAUCUGGAAAAUCGCCUAUUUACACACAGAAGAUUAUUUAUAUGUUUCCGGCGAAACAGAAAAAGGAAAACAAAAACUCCAGCACAGAGUUCUUCUUUUUUAGCAGGGAUGUGUAUGAAAAAAGAGAGUUGACUAAGUUUUAGAAGAGCAUAAGCUUGUGGCGGAAGAAACUAGUACUCCACAGUAAUCUAGCAGGAGUUUCCAAAGGACAAAUACAAAAUCCCAUCACGAAAUCCACCUUAACCAGCUCAGGGGUUUUCCCGUUUUCAGAUUAAAUAGAAGCAGUUAGGAUAACUACUUCUUCCGAUCGGAGGUUAAUUAUUUGACCUCCGAACUAGAAAAAAAAAAGUUUUAACGGCCCGCGACAGUGAAAAUAAGAUUCCGGCGAGGGCGUAUUAUGUGAUUUUGUCUCUAUAUAUAUGUGCUGUUUUG